GUUUGUUUAACUGUGGCAAUAGGAAGCUUUUAGGUGCUAACUGCAUGAAUUAUAGUUUUUUAUUAAGUGGGUUAUGAUUUUUUAUUUAGUAUCAGCAGUUGGUUUUUUAUUAGAAUUUAUGUUUUUUAAGAGUGUCUUUAAUUGUAAGGGGAUAGGUCACAGUGCCAGCAUCCGCGGUUAUUCUGUUUUCUUUGCUUCUUUAUAGAUUAAGUUUAAACAUUUUGUUAAAAUAUUAGGUGAAAUUUUGUUUGUUUUGUAUUAGAUGUUUAGGCUUUAAUAAUUUAUUAUUAUGACAGGGAUUAGAUACCCCAUUAAUUUAGUUUUUACUUUUUCUUAGUUUUUUAACUAAAAUGGUUUGGCAGCAAGUGAAUCCGUUCAGGGGAAGGUGUCAAGUAAAAGAUGGUCCGCUUAAUAAUUUACUCUUUUUAUGUUGGUGUAUAUCUGGUUUAAUAUUGUUGUUUAAUGAUUUUUAAUUUGUGUAUUAUUAAUUUAAGCUAAGUCUAUGUGCUGCUUAUUAGAGUUUUGAUGCGUUACACUUAUAUAGUAAUAUGUGUAUAGAUAUUAUUUGUUUAGGACUUGAUAGUAAUAUUUAAUUUAGUUUGUUAAUGUGAAUAAGGUUUAACUU
rnacentral:rRNA from 1 species